rnacentral:rRNA from 1 species
GACGAACGCUGGCGGCGUGCUUAACACAUGCAAGUCGAACGGAAAGGCCCUGCUUUUGUGGGGUGCUCGAGUGGCGAACGGGUGAGUAACACGUGAGUAACCUGCCCUUGACUUUGGGAUAACUUCAGGAAACUGGGGCUAAUACCGGAUAGGAGCUCCUGCUGCAUGGUGGGGGUUGGAAAGUUUCGGCGGUUGGGGAUGGACUCGCGGCUUAUCAGCUUGUUGGUGGGGUAGUGGCUUACCAAGGCUUUGACGGGUAGCCGGCCUGAGAGGGUGACCGGCCACGUGGGGAAUGAGAACCGGCCCAGCCCCCUAGGGGGGGAAGCGGGGGGGAAUAUUGCACAAGGGGCGGGAGCCUGAUGAAGACACGCCGCGGGGGGGAUGCGGGCUUUGGGGUGGAAACCCGUUUUCCCCUGUGUCGAAGGGUGGGGGGGGGUAAGGGGAAAAAAACCCCGGGCAAACACCG